rnacentral:rRNA from 1 species
CCGUGCGAAGGUAGCAUAAUCACUUGUCCUUUAAAUAAGGACCUGUAUCAAUGGCCCAACGAAGGCUAUACUGUCUCCUUACUCCAAUCAGUGAAACUGAUCUCCCCGUGAAAAAGCAGGGAUAAUAUUAUUAGACGAGAAGACCCCAUGGAGCUUUAAGCCCAGCAACAACCUCCUCCCACUACCCCCUUUUAAACUUAAAGAUCUUGUUUGCCGCUUUGGGUUGGGGCGACCACGAAGUAUAAUAAAACCUUCAUGAUAAACAGAGCUUGCUCCUUAUCCAUGAGCUACCACUCUAAGAAUCAGAACCCUAAUGUAAAAUGAUCCGAUUUUAUCGAUCAACGAACCAAGUUACCCUGGGGAUAACAGCGCAAUCCAUUUAAAGAGUUCAUAUCGACAAAUGGGUUUACGACCUC